rnacentral:rRNA from 1 species
GACGAACGCUGGCGGCGUGCCUAAUACAUGCAAGUUGAGCGCUGAAGGUUGGUACUUGUACCGACUGGAUGAGCAGCGAACGGGUGAGUAACGCGUGGGGAAUCUGCCUUUGAGCGGGGGACAACAUUUGGAAACGAAUGCUAAUACCGCAUAAAAACUUUAAACACAAGUUUUAAGUUCGAAAGAUGCAAUUGCAUCACUCAAAGAUGAUCCCGCGUUGUAUUAGCUAGUUGGUGAGGUAAAGGCUCACCAAGGCGAUGAUACAUAGCCGACCUGAGAGGGUGAUCGGCCACAUUGGGACUGAGACACGGCCCAAACUCCUACGGGAGGCAGCAGUAGGGAAUCUUCGGCAAUGGACGAAAGUCUGACCGAGCAACGCCGCGUGAGUGAAGAAGGUUUUCGGAUCGUAAAACUCUGUUGGUAGAGAAGAACGUUGGUGAGAGUGGAAAGCUCAUCAAGUGACGGUAACUACCCAGAAAGGGACGGCUAACUACGUG